rnacentral:misc_RNA from 1 species
AACGCACAUUGCGCCCGCCAGUAUUCUGGCGGGCAUGCCUGUUCGAGCGUCAUUUCGACCAUCAAGCCCCUUUGUUGGCUUGCUGUUGGGGUGCUUCUACAGCGACAGCUGUAGGCCCCGAAAUCCAGUGGCGGGCCCGACGAGACCCCGAGCGCAGUAGCAUUUCUUCUCGCUUAGGGCGUCGCGGCGGGCGACCAGCCGUAAAAACCUAUAUACCAUAAGGCCCUAGGGCCCCUGGUAUACGCACAAGGUUGACCUCGGAUCAGGUAGGAAUACCCGCUGAACUUAA